rnacentral:rRNA from 1 species
AACGAACGCUGGCGGCAGGCUUAACACAUGCAAGUCGAACGGAUCCUUCGGGAUUAGUGGCGCACGGGUGAGUAACACGUGGGAACGUACCCCUUGGUAAGGAAUAAUAUCUGGAAACGGAUACUAAUACCUUAUAAUGACUUCGGUCCAAAGAUUUAUCGCCAAGGGAUCGGCCCGCGUUAGAUUAAGUAGUUGGUGGGGUAAUGGCCUACCAAGCCUACGAUCUAUGGCUGGUCUGAGAGGAUGAACAGCCACACUGGGACUGAGACACGGCCCAGACUCCUCCGGGAGGCAGAAUUGGGUAAUAUUGGACAAUGGACGAAACUCUAUUCCAGCCAUGCCGCGUGAGUGAAGAAGGCCUUAGGGUUGUAAAGCUCUUUCAAUAGUGAAGAUAAUGACGGUAGCUAUAGAGGAAGCCCCGGCUCAAUGCGUGCCAGCAGCCGCCGGAA